UAGGGAAUCUUCCGCAAUGGGCGAAAGCCUGACGGAGCAACGCCGCGUGAGUGAUGAAGGUCUUCGGAUCGUAAAACUCUGUUAUUAGGGAAGAACAAAUGUGUUAGUAACUAUGCAUGUCUUGACGGUACCUAAUCAGAAAGCCACGGCUAACUACGUGCCAGCAGCCGCGGUAAUACGUAGGUGGCAAGCGUUAUCCGGAAUUAUUGGGCGUAAAGCGCGCGCAGGCGGUUUUUUAAGUCUGGUGUGAAAGCCCACGGCUCAACCGUGGAGAGUCGUUUGAGACUGGAAAACUUGAGUGCGGAAGAGGAAAGUGGAAUUCCACGUGUAGCAGUGAAAUGCGCAGAGAUAUGGAGGAACACCAGUGGCGAAGGCGACUUUCUGGUCUGUAACUGACGCUGAUGUGCGAAAGCGUGGGGAUCAAACAGG
rnacentral:rRNA from 1 species